rnacentral:rRNA from 1 species
UACAGAGGGUGCAAGCGUUAAUCGGAAUUACUGGGCGUAAAGCGUGCGUAGACGGUUACAUAAGUCGGGUGUGAAAGCCCCGGGCUCAACCUGGGAAUUGCAUUCGAGACUGCGUAGCUAGGGUGCGGAAGAGGGAAGCGGAAUUUCCGGUGUAGCGGUGAAAUGCGUAGAUAUCGGAAGGAACACCGGUGGCGAAGGCGGCAUCCUGGACCAACACUGACGCUGAGGAGCGAAAGCCAGGGGAGCAAACGGG